UACACACCGCCCGUCACACCAUGGGAGCGGGUUCUGCCAGAAGUAGUUAGCCUAACCGCAAGGAGGGCGAUUACCAUGGCAGGGUUCGUGACUGGGGUG
rnacentral:rRNA from 1 species